ACGCAUCCUUGCAGAAUGUGGCUCCAACCCUUUAUCUACGUAAUUUGGAUAUGUGCCAUUGUUACUGUUGCUGAAGAUACAGAAACGAGCACUACUGAACCUGCAAGCACUAAUUCACCGGAGCAAUCUGAACCAGCGG